UUUAUGUAAAUAAACGCGUCAUUUGACGAGAAGUUGUACUCGCAUUCGAUUUCAAAAAAUUAUCACCAAGGAUCACUGCCUGGAGUCAUGGACAAAAGAGAGUACAGGCGUUAUAUGGGUACGACCCAAUUCAAUCCCCAGACAAACAUAGUCAAUGGAGUGGACCUCUUCAAGAAUGGAAGAUUUAUCAAUCAAAUCAAAGUCAAAAUGGACAAAGAGAAUUCCGCCGCACUGUCGAGAGCCUGUGCAACAUGUACUGGAUCUGGUGAGCCCGCCCCAGUGGUAUCUGGAUCCUCCUCCAUGUCCUCACAAUCCUCUUCCACUACAAGCCUCCAGUUCGCCACAUUCAUUUAGAUUGAGGCAUUUCCUUUUAAGGAAAAAAACAUUACAAGUUACUGUUCCUGAAAGUUCUCUGUUUGUAGGAAUUGUAUCUGAUAGUUUAGUGAGUUUACUAUAUAUUCAGAUUCACUCUUGUUAAUUGAAAGUGGACAUAUCCAAUGCAAAAAUACUCCAUCGACUUUGACUCUGCCAGAAAAUUUGACAAACUUAUUUAUUGCAUCAGAGUAGAAGAAUGACAUAAUAUAUAACAUACGUUAGAGCAGAAAUGUUGGUUUUAGCGUUACUGUAUUUUCAAUACUUAGUCUAAUAAAGUUUUAUUUGUU